rnacentral:rRNA from 1 species
AGUGAACGCUGGCGGUAGGCCUAACACAUGCAAGUCGAACGGCAGCACAGUAAGAGCUUGCUCUUACGGGUGGCGAGUGGCGGACGGGUGAGGAAUACAUCGGAAUCUACUUUUUCGUGGGGGAUAACGUAGGGAAACUUACGCUAAUACCGCAUACGACCUACGGGUGAAAGCAGGGGAUCUUCGGACCUUGCGUGAUUGAAUGAGCCGAUGUCGGAUUAGCUAGUUGGCGGGGUAAAGGCCCACCAAGGCGACGAUCCGUAGCUGGUCUGAGAGGAUGAUCAGCCACACUGGAACUGAGACACGGUCCAGACUCCUACGGGAGGCAGCAGUGGGGAAUAUUGGACAAAGGGCGCAAGCCUGAUCCAGCCAUACCGCGUGGGUGAAGAAGGCCUUCGGGUUGUAAAGCCCUUUUGUUGGGAAAGAAAAGCAGCAGGUUAAUACCCCGCUGUUCUGACGGUACCCAAAGAAUAAGCACCGGCUAACUUCGUG